rnacentral:rRNA from 1 species
GAGUUUGAUCUUGGCUCAGAGCGAACGCUGGCGGCAUGCUUAACACAUGCAAGUCGCACGGUCAGCAAUGGCAGUGGCGGACGGGGUGAGUAACACGUAGGAAUCUAUCUCUGGGUGGGGGACAACAGUGGGAAACUACUGCUAAUACCGCAUGAUACCUGAGGGUCAAAGGCGUAAGUCGCCUGGAGAGGAGCCUGCGUCUGAUUAGCUUGUUGGUGGGGUAAGGGCCUACCAAGGCUACGAUCAGUAGCUGGUCUGAGAGGAUGAUCAGCCACAUUGGGACUGAGACACGGCCCAAACUCCUACGGGAGGCAGCAGUGGGGAAUAUUGGACAAUGGGCGAAAGCCUGAUCCAGCAAUGCCGCGUGUGUGAAGAAGGUCUUCGGAUUGUAAAGCACUUUUGGCAGGGACGAUGAUGACGGUACCUGCAGAAUAAGCCCCGGCUAACUUCGUGCCAGCAGCAGCCGCGGU